GAAUCUCAUCAAUUCCAACACUCCUUUUUUAUGUGAUUCUUAUUGAAGCCAAUAACUCUCUCACAACAGAACUAGAUUCAGUAGCACCCACACAAUGGUAUCAAUACAAAGUAACUCAUAAGUUGCACUUUCCUCUCUAAAGGCGUCACGCCACUAGUAAGUAAAAAGAUGAAACAGUUGGUGGAUCUUUUUCCAAUAGCUCACGGAGCCCAAAUACAAAAAGCUUCAAGGGAGUAUCAAAUGAAGCAAGUCCAAAAGCAGAAACUGAAAGCAAGUAGGCAAGGAUUACAAGGCAUGUGAAUAGUGCUGAUGAACAGUGCCCAUAAAUAGUGUUGAUGAACAAUGCAUGUGAAACAAUACUGAUGAACAGUACCCAUGAAUGGUAGGCUCUGAUGCCAUGUUAAGUAUUUAAGAAGAAAAAGAAUAAGAAAGAAAAAAAGGGAGGGAGGAAGGGAGGGAAGAGAACCACCAUAGUUAUUAAAGGCUCAAGAUGCACUAAGGCGUCAAGGGGUCCUGGAGUCUAGGCGCAAGGCACAGGCGUACGCCUGAGAGAGGUGAGGCGCAAAAGUAAAAAAAUUAAAAAAAUUCAUAAAA
rnacentral:misc_RNA from 1 species